GACGAACGCUGGCGGCGUGCUUAACACAUGCAAGUCGAGCGGUAAGGCCCUUUCGGGGGUACGACGAGCGGCGAACGGGUGAGUAACACGUGGGUGACCUGCCCUCAGCUCUGGGAUAAGCCUGGGAAACCGGGUCCUAAUACUGGAUAUGACUCCAUGACGCAUGUUGUGGGGUGGAAAGCCUUGUGCGGCUGAGGAUGGGCCCGCGGCCUAUCAGCUUGUUGGUGGGGUGAUGGCCUACCAAGGCGACGACGGGUAGCCGGCCUGAGAGGCGACCGGCCACACUGGGACUGAGACACGGCCCAGACUCCUACGGGAGGCAGCAGUGGGGAAUCUUGCGCAAUGGGCGAAGGCCUGACGCAGCGACGCCGCGUGAGGGAUGACGGCCU
rnacentral:rRNA from 1 species